AUUGCAUACAAAGGGGAUUACCCACUCUCCAUAGUGUGCUAGGCCCAAGGUGGACAUUAAAUAUUACUAUAAAAAUGGACUGAUUCAAAUUCUUAAAUGUAUUAGAUAUCUAAAAAAUAUAUUGAAAUUGACGCCACUAUUAUAAAAAAUAUAAUAAAAAUAAAAAACUCGUUUUGAGGUUAAUUUUCUAUAUAAAUACCUCAAGAACUUUUCUUUUUUUAAUGUUUAAGAUGUUCCUAAUGUAUUUUUAUCCAAUUGUAGUUAUUAGGGUAUAAAAAACACACAUACUUCUUUAAAUAUCUAUAUUAUUCUAUAUUUUCAUCAUCUUCAUACACAAUUAGUAAAUCAUCUAAAAAUAGCACAGGAGACUUCGAUCAACAAUAGUAACUAGAUUUCGGGUCGGUGCAUAAAAUCCGUCUCGUCAAAUAACAGCGCACUUGAAAUGUGAGCUCUUAUUUUGUUUAGUUCACUUCAAACACAGCCAAUGUCAACCCGUCUCACAAUACCGCAGUGUGUAUUCAAAAGUUGCAAAAAUAAGGCCCGAAAAAGCAAUUUAACGGCCGGAGUAUCUUACUUUCGCUUUCCUAGCAAUCACGUGUGCAGAAUGGAUCUCGAUUGUCGCCAGAGAAACAAGAGAUGACUUUUAUAAGCCAGCUAAGAACUCCGCUUAUUGACACUGGACAUCUUUGCCUUCCGUGCUCACGGCUACUGAAAUGUGGCCGAAACAUUGUAAUAAAAAUACCACGCUUGAAACCGUUUAAA